AACAAAUGGAAGCAAAUGGAGACGCAGUCUCUAGCGAGGAGCCUGAAGCUCUGAACUUGACCCCAGAGCCGAAGUAGGAAGCAGCUGUGCUGGCAGCACAAGGUGACUGUCCCAUCCCCUGACUCCUCAGGAGGGAGGUAAGGUGAGGUUGGUCCAGCGCCAGCCCUGCUCAGAAACCCAGCUCUAAGAUGACACUUUACUUAGCCUGGAUCUCCAGCACUUGGCACAGUUGUCUCUGUAAACGUAUCAUUCAUCAACUUUCCACUCUCCUGAAUGCUGCAUAGACUGUCA